GUGGGGAAUAUUGGACAAUGGGCGCAAGCCUGAUCCAGCCAUGCCGCGUGAGUGAUGAAGGCCUUAGGGUUGUAAAGCUCUUUCAGUAGGGAAGAUAAUGACGGUACCUACAGAAGAAGCCCCGGCUAACUUCGUGCCAGCAGCCGCGGUAAUACGAAGGGGGCUAGCGUUGUUCGGAUUUACUGGUCGUAAAGCGCACGUAGGCGGAUUGGUCAGUUAGAGGUGAAAUCCCGAAGCUCAACUUCGGAACUGCCUUUAAUACUGCCAGUCUCGAGUCCGGAAGAGGUGAGUGGAACUCCUAGUGUAGAGGUGGAAUUCGUAGAUAUUAGGAAGAACACCAGUGGCGAAGGCGGCUCACUGGUCCGGUACUGACGCUGAGGUGCGAAAGCGUGGGGAGCAAACAGGAUUAGAAACCCCAGUAGUCC
rnacentral:rRNA from 1 species